UGAAAACGUGAAGUUGGCAUCGGUUGGACAUAAUUAGCUUUUAGGGUCAGAACUCUAGAGGGGUGAGGGGCCUGAGUUCACAGAGCCUGUGACGGAUAGCGUUGAGUCUCCACUGCUUCUCUAUAUUAGUGUUACAUAUUGGGCGGAGGGAUCAGCUUGUGGCCACAGUUUCCCUUUAGGACACGUUUAACCCAUGUUCACGAUUUCAUUCUCAUUUCUCAACACAGCUGCAAGUUCAAGGAGAUCCUAUGUAAUCAGGCCGGGCUCAGUACUUAGGGUCUCCAACUUGAGUGAUCGGGGCAGAGGGUAUGUGCCGUACGGUGACAGCAUCCUCACCAGACUUGAUUUCCUGUAGUGAUGGAAGUCCUUGCUGACCAUGUUAUUAUUCAUGGUAACAAUGCGAAUUAAUUAUUUAUAACAUUUUCCUCCCAAGUGGAUGUAAUGGAACAAGGGUCUUUAUGCAAGGGCUAGACAAAUGUUGUCCUCCUACCUUAUAUAAUGGAGGGCAUUUUCACCAGUUAAAGAUAAUUGCUAUCAUUAAAUAUUGAUAGAGCAUAGUUUUUUUUUUCCCCCUAGAAGGGAAAGAACUCUGAGAAAUGUAAUCAUUGUGUCAUGUCCUGGACUUUUCUUCCAAUGGGAACUGGGCUUCAAGGAGGAAGAAAACUCUCUGGAAGAAAAACAACUAUUUAUUUAUUCAUUUGUUUAUUUAUUUUUCAAUAGCCGACCUCCCAAGUGCCAUUGCUUGAGCUGUGAGAGAAAGGAGACAUUUUACAAGCCAGAAGUGAAGGGAGAAGGAACACUUUAAAAGACUAAGCCAGAAUUUAACUGUGAGUAUUCUCUGACCUUGGGCAUCCUGCCCAGAAAAGAAUGCAGAGGAAAGUUGGCUUCCGCAUCAAGGAGAAGGCUGAUGAGAAGAGAGCAGUAGAGGCUUUUGACAUCACUGUGGACCAGGGAGUCUCAGGCUUGACUGACUAAGCU
rnacentral:lncRNA from 1 species